UACGUAGGGGGCGAGCGUUGUCCGGAAUCAUUGGCGUAAAGCGCGUGUAGGCGGCUCGAUAAGUCCGGUGUGAAACCUUGGGGCUCAACCCCAAGCCUGCACUGGAUACUGCCGAGCUAGAGUCCGGGAGGGGAGAGCGGAAUCCUAGUGUAGCGGUGAAAUGCGUAGAUAUCUGGAGGAACACCGGUGGCGAAGGCGGCAUCCUGGACCAACACUGACGCUGAGGAGCGAAAGCCAGGGGAGCCAAAGCGGG
rnacentral:rRNA from 1 species